rnacentral:tRNA from 1 species
GCGAUCGUAGCUCAGUUGGUAGAGCAGCAGUCUUUUAAACUGCGGGCCAGGGUUUCGAUUACCCUCGGUCGCA